GAUCAUUCUCGACUAGUUACAGUGGUUCGAUUGCAUCGAAAAGGUAUAACCACUCUAUUGAUAUUAAAUGCUCCAGAGUAGAGAUGGAAUUGGGCCCAAUAACUGUUAGGUGAGGAACUCAAUGACGGCUUUACAUCCACUGAUGAACGGUAGGUCUAAUUUAACUAAGAAAUGUGCUAAUAACUGUUAGGUGAGGCCAUAGAAC
rnacentral:lncRNA from 1 species